AACCAUCACAGGUUUAUUUCGUGACUUAUAACAACAUAGAAAUAUGCCUUUUUUUAAUACUUUCUAUAAAGUUAUUGACAAUACAAAAUUUUUUUUUCUUUUUUUUCUUUUAAUGAAAAUGAUUUAACUUAGAAAUCUAUUGUGAAACUUUUGUCUAGUUUUGCAAUUCUCAGAUAUUCCAGUGCAAAAAUAGAUCCCAUUACAGACAGCAUAAAGUGCUUGGAAUGAAGGGUCAAUGAUAAAGAAAAAGCACAAAAACAUGGUUUAAUCCUAGGGUAUAAGAAGGGAGAACAGAAUUCUUAAAACUUAUGGAAGUAUAAACAUUCUAUAAAAAGGGAUGCAACAAUUCUGAAGAGAAUUAGAACAAUAUUUCUAUAAUACUAUAUUACUAGUAAAUGGUAACAAGAGUAGAAAUUAAUAUCUCAAUG
rnacentral:lncRNA from 1 species